UACGUAGGGAGCAAGCGUUGUCCGGAAUCAUUGGGCGUAAAGCGCGCGUAGGCGGCCCUGUAAGUCCGUUGUGAAAGUCAAAGGCUCAACCUUUGAAAGCCGAUGGAUACUGCAGGGCUAGAGUCCGGAAGAGGCGAGUGGAAUUCCUGGUGUAGCGGUGGAAUGCGCAGAUAUCAGGAGGAACACCAAUUGCGAAGGCAGCUCGCUGGGACGUUACUGACGCUGAGACGCGAAAGCGUGGGGAGCAAACAGG
rnacentral:rRNA from 1 species